rnacentral:rRNA from 1 species
GGUUAAGCGACUAAGCGUACACGGUGGAUGCCCUGGCAGUCAGAGGCGAUGAAGGACGUGCUAAUCUGCGAUAAGCGUCGGUAAGGUGAUAUGAACCGUUAUAACCGGCGAUUUCCGAAUGGGGAAACCCAGUGUGAUUCGUCACACUAUCAUUAACUGAAUCCAUAGGUUAAUGAGGCGAACCGGGGGAACUGAAACAUCUAAGUACCCCGAGGAAAAGAAAUCAACCGAGAUUCCCCCAGUAGCGGCGAGCGAACGGGGAGCAGCCCAGAGCCUGAAUCAGUGUGUGUGUUAGUGGAAGCGUCUGGAAAGGCGCGCGAUACAGGGUGACAGCCCCGUACACAAAAAUGCACAUGCUGUGAGCUCGAUGAGUAGGGCGGGACACGUGGUAUCCUGUCUGAAUAUGGGGGGACCAUCCUCCAAGGCUAAAUACUCCUGACUGACCGAUAGUGAACCAGUACCGUGAGGGAAAGGCGAAAAGAACCCCGGCGAGGGGAGUGAAAAAGAACCUGAAACCGUGUACGUACAAGCAGUGGGAGCACGCUUAGGCGUGUGACUGCGUACCUUUUGUAUAAUGGGUCAGCGACUUAUAUUCUGUAGCAAGGUUAACCGAAUAGGGGAGCCGAAGGGAAACCGAGUCUUAACUGGGCGUUAAGUUGCAGGGUAUAGACCCGAAACCCGGUGAUCUAGCCAUGGGCAGGUUGAAGGUUGGGUAACACUAACUGGAGGACCGAACCGACUAAUGUUGAAAAAUUAGCGGAUGACUUGUGGCUGGGGGUGAAAGGCCAAUCAAACCGGGAGAUAGCUGGUUCUCCCCGAAAGCUAUUUAGGUAGCGCCUCGUGAAUUCAUCUCCGGGGGUAGAGCACUGUUUCGGCAAGGGGGUCAUCCCGACUUACCAACCCGAUGCAAACUGCGAAUACCGGAGAAUGUUAUCACGGGAGACACACGGCGGGUGCUAACGUCCGUCGUGAAGAGGGAAACAACCCAGACCGCCAGCUAAGGUCCCAAAGUCAUGGUUAAGUGGGAAACGAUGUGGGAAGGCCCAGACAGCCAGGAUGUUGGCUUAGAAGCAGCCAUCAUUUAAAGAAAGCGUAAUAGCUCACUGGUCGAGUCGGCCUGCGCGGAAGAUGUAACGGGGCUAAACCAUGCACCGAAGCUGCGGCAGCGACGCUUAUGCGUUGUUGGGUAGGGGAGCGUUCUGUAAGCCUGCGAAGGUGUGCUGUGAGGCAUGCUGGAGGUAUCAGAAGUGCGAAUGCUGACAUAAGUAACGAUAAAGCGGGUGAAAAGCCCGCUCGCCGGAAGACCAAGGGUUCCUGUCCAACGUUAAUCGGGGCAGGGUGAGUCGACCCCUAAGGCGAGGCCGAAAGGCGUAGUCGAUGGGAAACAGGUUAAUAUUCCUGUACUUGGUGUUACUGCGAAGGGGGGACGGAGAAGGCUAUGUUGGCCGGGCGACGGUUGUCCCGGUUUAAGCGUGUAGGCUGGUUUUCCAGGCAAAUCCGGAAAAUCAAGGCUGAGGCGUGAUGACGAGGCACUACGGUGCUGAAGCAACAAAUGCCCUGCUUCCAGGAAAAGCCUCUAAGCAUCAGGUAACAUCAAAUCGUACCCCAAACCGACACAGGUGGUCAGGUAGAGAAUACCAAGGCGCUUGAGAGAACUCGGGUGAAGGAACUAGGCAAAAUGGUGCCGUAACUUCGGGAGAAGGCACGCUGAUAUGUAGGUGAAGUCCCUCGCGGAUGGAGCUGAAAUCAGUCGAAGAUACCAGCUGGCUGCAACUGUUUAUUAAAAACACAGCACUGUGCAAACACGAAAGUGGACGUAUACGGUGUGACGCCUGCCCGGUGCCGGAAGGUUAAUUGAUGGGGUUAGCGCAAGCGAAGCUCUUGAUCGAAGCCCCGGUAAACGGCGGCCGUAACUAUAACGGUCCUAAGGUAGCGAAAUUCCUUGUCGGGUAAGUUCCGACCUGCACGAAUGGCGUAAUGAUGGCCAGGCUGUCUCCACCCGAGACUCAGUGAAAUUGAACUCGCUGUGAAGAUGCAGUGUACCCGCGGCAAGACGGAAAGACCCCGUGAACCUUUACUAUAGCUUGACACUGAACAUUGAGCCUUGAUGUGUAGGAUAGGUGGGAGGCUUUGAAGUGUGGACGCCAGUCUGCAUGGAGCCGACCUUGAAAUACCACCCUUUAAUGUUUGAUGUUCUAACGUUGACCCGUAAUCCGGGUUGCGGACAGUGUCUGGUGGGUAGUUUGACUGGGGCGGUCUCCUCCUAAAGAGUAACGGAGGAGCACGAAGGUUGGCUAAUCCUGGUCGGACAUCAGGAGGUUAGUGCAAUGGCAUAAGCCAGCUUGACUGCGAGCGUGACGGCGCGAGCAGGUGCGAAAGCAGGUCAUAGUGAUCCGGUGGUUCUGAAUGGAAGGGCCAUCGCUCAACGGAUAAAAGGUACUCCGGGGAUAACAGGCUGAUACCGCCCAAGAGUUCAUAUCGACGGCGGUGUUUGGCACCUCGAUGUCGGCUCAUCACAUCCUGGGGCUGAAGUAGGUCCCAAGGGUAUGGCUGUUCGCCAUUUAAAGUGGUACGCGAGCUGGGUUUAGAACGUCGUGAGACAGUUCGGUCCCUAUCUGCCGUGGGCGCUGGAGAAUUGAGGGGGGCUGCUCCUAGUACGAGAGGACCGGAGUGGACGCAUCACUGGUGUUCGGGUUGUCAUGCCAAUGGCACUGCCCGGUAGCUAAAUGCGGAAGAGAUAAGUGCUGAAAGCAUCUAAGCACGAAACUUGCCCCGAGAUGAGUUCUCCCUGACUCCUUGAGAGUCCUGAAGGAACGUUGAAGACGACGACGUUGAUAGGCCGGGUGUGUAAGCGCAGCGAUGCGUUGAGCUAACCGGUACUAAUGAACCGUGAGGCUUAACCUU